rnacentral:tRNA from 1 species
GGACUGUAGCUCAGUUGGAAGAGCAUUUAAUUGGGAGGUAAACGCCCCAAGUUCAAGCCCUAGCAUGUCUA